rnacentral:lncRNA from 1 species
GGAAGAAGAAGUAGGUCGGCCGUGGUGUGGCCUCCACCUGCUGUCGCAGUGGUGAACAUUCAGUCGGUCGCAAGCCUGGGUGGUGGUUGGGCGUUGAGCCACUGCUCUCCUCACAGUCGGGGUUGUCGGUGCUGACUCAGCUGUAGCCUGCAAUGCUAACAUUGUCUGUUUGAUCUUAGUGUUAGCUUAAGCCUUGUGGAAACAUGGAGAAGACAGAAGCUACGGCUUAUAUACGUAGAUAGUGGAGCAAAUAACCAACGAAUGCAAAGUGUAACUUUCAUUUCACCACUUGUUUACUGGCAAUAAUGGAGGAAUUGUGAGAAGCAUCGACCAAUAAGAAAAAUCUUGUCCCUGGAGUUAGAAUGCCAGGGGCGAGCGUCUCCAACUGGUGGAAGAUUUCAAUGCUGCCUUGAUGAAUAAUCCAAGCCUCGCUCGCCGUAUGCCUUGACUACCAGUUGUUGCGAAAUGGACCAGAGCACAAUGGACGCUACAGAGAGUAAUAUGGAGAGCCAGAAAUCCGGAACACUCUCCACCUAGUUACUAUCUACGCACGGACUCCACGAUCUUCAGGCAACCGUACAGAUGACGCCAAGCUAUUUCCCCCAUUCUGCCUAACUGGUCACUUGGAAUCCAGCUCAUUUAUUUGAUUGGUUUGUUGGUAUAGCGAAAAAGGUGAAGAUAAAGGAGGUACAGUUGCCAGCAAAAGUCCUCCCACAAACUUGCUACGCAGGGCUGUGGGAGAACUUUUGCUGGCAACUGUACGUCUGUAGCCACAGCUCUGGUGGGGUCACUUUGACUGCGUCACGCUCAGCUGAUCCCGAGAACUCGCACUACUUUGUCUAACGCCAGUUUUAGCGCCAUUUUGGUGGCUCCAUUGUUUACGUCGGGUUAGUCUUGCGUGACCUUCUAUCCUUCUUUGUGUAAAGUAAAUGUUUUUUUUGGUGUAAAUUGUGAGUAUUCAUGUUAGGAAAAUAAGGAUGGAGAUUUUUUGACGUUUCGAAGCUAACAUAGCUUACAUCGUGUGAAGUGAUUAUAAGGUAAUCGACUAAUGGCUAAUGGGUGAAACAGUAAACAUUGUGUACUCCGCAGUCAUCUAGUGAGACGUCAUCUAAAUCUGUGAUUGAGGAUCGUCGCAAGACCAAGUGACAGGGUAGUCAAAUUUGUGUAAAACUUCAUAUUCCAGGUUAUUGUUGAAUAGCUUUCGAAAUACAUUGUUUCACUUCACUAAUGCAAACAACAUAUAAUUACAAACGAAUAUGUAUUAGGAUAAUAGGGCUAGUUUUACCACAGUUUUGGUGCUGAAUAUUUGGGUGGUGGGCGUGUGGCAGAGGGUGGCGGGCGCGGCAGCUAGCCAGGCUGGCCGCCGCACUACUACUAAAAAAGUAGCUCAUGGUCUUAGAGCACUAGUUUUUGUGGCUAUAGUCAAGGAGCGUGGCUUACUAGAGGCCAUUGGCGAAGUUUCACCCCUCACUAUUCCCUUUCAUGUUUGUAUUUGAGAAUUAACUAACGUGUGUAGAGUGUUGCAGCGGUGUGUGAGUGUCGGUGGCCGGGGUGUGGGUCUUAGUGGAAACAGUGGGAGCGUGCGGUGGAGGGCCCUACUGGCCUGCUAAGUCCCAAGCCUCGCCCACCCACCGCAGCCACCACACCCUCCUAGACUUACGUUGUGGCUCUGCUACUCCUAUCCACCUAUCCGCGUCCCGCUCACCUCCCUCCUGCUGUUUAUACUGCGCCUUCACCUCUUUUUUUUUAAUUCUUAUCUCCAACAGUCGGACUUUUGUUGACACUGGAUACUUUUCAAAGGCGAAAAUAUUACAGACGACCUUCUUAUUACAAACAUAUUACAACUGAAAAAUUUCUAAAUACAUAAACAUACAGACAAGCUACUAUACACCUGGAAUUGACUGUCUGGAGUAUAAACCACCCAUUGGUAGAAUUCACAGCACAUCUACAGUGCGGACAGCGUAACCAAAUAUCCCUCUCACUUAAGCACACUACCCAAAUCCAUCACGUAUUAGUCACUGCAGGCAUGUGUAGGGACAGGUGUAAGGUAAACGGACAGGGGACGACCGUGGUGCCGCUGCCACUGACCCUGUCCAAGGUUAUCGUACACAACAUCCUGGGCUUCUAACCCACUUUAUGGUGGAACUUGCCUUAACCCUUCACCCUUUCAAAACAAGUCUAUAUUGCUUUCAUCAUGAUACUUGUUGCUAAAGUUUACCAUGACAUAUAUACACUAUACCGUGUGCUAACCCUGACUUACUUGUUGGCUAAUGUUUGACUCAACAUCUCUUUGUAAUACUGUUAAGCCAUUGGCUUUUUAACCGCCCGAAAUAAAAAGAAUACUUAGAUAUCGGUAAAUACAUACCAGUUUUCAGUAAUUUAUAGUUUACCCAAACAGAAUCUGCUCAAACACACGUGAGAAGGGUGUUAUCCAGUGUGACCCUACCGAACACCACAGGUUUCCCGGUCCCCAGUUUCCUCCUGUACUUACACUGAAUAAACCUCCCAAACGGCCAGUAAGCUGAUAAGUGGCGAAUAUGAUUAAAAAAAUACCUGGUCAUUCUUGAUCGUUGCAUGAUAAAUGUUUCUAAGUUAUCACACUAGUGAGAUUUUUUUAUAUCAUACUGAUAUCUAAAACUAAAGUAUUACCUCAUCGUGACAUCAAACCACGAGAGGACUCAUCCUAGCCAGUUGGGGCUGGAAGCUGAACUCUGACAUUCAAGCGCGCGCGAGACACUUUCAGACCGUGACCUCCACCAGCAAACAUUUCCUCCCACAUCCUGUCUGCCUCGAUCACUUACGGAUUCUAACUUAACCUCCAUUAAUUGCUGAGCCUAACUCAACCUCCAACACCUAUAGAUGUUAAUUUCAAACAGUUAAUGGGUUUUACUAAAAACUUAAUGAACUCAAUCUCAGACACUCAAUGAGCUUAACUCAACCUCCAACAUUUAUUGAACCCAACUUAAAAACGCUUAACUCGCCCUCUUGCGCUUAUUGAGCUUCAGUUUACAUUAAGGAGACUAACUUACCUUCCAACACUUAAUGUAGGCAUCUCUGACUUAUUUGGUGUCAUUGACUAUUCUUGACAAAACAGAAUAUGAACAAGCUCUUACAACUGAUAUUCUUAACACAUUUCUGACUUGCAAUCAACACGCUCUUGUAAUUUUCUCUAUUCAACAUAACAAGCUGAUGUAUGAGUUUUGUUUACGCUUAUAAUUUUUUAAUAUAAGUUAUGACACUUUUAUACGGAAUGUGACUUGAGAGAAAGUUAUUUGGGCAAUAUUUCCCAGGGGGAUGAACAUUACAGCACAGGAAAGUUUUCAAAUUUUCCCUUCUGUUCUAUGUUCUCGUGAAUUUGCUGGUGUGUAAGCUUAUGGCAGUAUUAGUGUAUGUUGUAGUGACAGUUGCUUUUUUUUACGACAAUUGCCGUACAUCCCAGUGACAUUUCUUAAUUUGUUCUCACGACUCAUUAGCUGUAUUCUCUAAUGCUCAUUGUUUAAUGUUUUCGUGGCACGGCUACAAUAGAUUCUGAAGACCUACGUAUUUUGAAAUGACACGGUUGGUGUGAUGAAACUCACAGUCACGUUUAUUUGGAUGACAUUACUGUGUAUUCUAUUGACUCACAAGGCUACAGAGCUGGAGUUGUUUGGGUUUUUCACACACACACACACAUACACACACACACGCGCGCUAAAAAGUAUCUUAAACAUCAGAUUGACAGCUCCUGGUGUACAAUGAACAAUCCCAACGUGACAUCUGAUGUACAAUGAACACUCCCAGCACCAACUUGACAUCAACUGGUGUACAAUGAAUGAUCCUAUCACCAACUUGACAGCUACUGGUGUACAAUGAACAAUCCUAACUUGACAUCUGGUAUACAAUGAACAAUCCCAUCACCAACUUGACAUCUGGUGUACAGUGAACAAUCCCAAAACCAACUUGACAGCUCCUGGUAUACAAUGGACAAUCCCAGCACCAACUUGACAACUCCUGGUGUACGAUGGACACCCCUGACAGCUCUUCUGACAAAGGUCUGUCCUGGCACCACCCACCUGACCUCUGAACGCUGUAGCAAACUUGGGGUUUCUAAGAGGCAUCCCUUGCAACUUUAGACUGCAAUGCCCUUGGAAAUCCCAAAUAUGCUCGGCCUAGCGACUAGGAUGUGAACUCUUACUCUUGACUGACAUGUUGAAGACGUGUUUGUGGACAGGUCACCGACCCCUCUUGGACCCGUGUGACCUCGGCAGUGCAGCAAAGGGAGGGAGGGCAUUCAGGUCAGUGACUCGGGGGCUUUCCCAUCUUAUUUUUUUUGUUACCUUGAGGAACAAAAUGUUGAUACUAAACAUAAUCUCACCCAAGAUAGGUUUGUUACUAAUAAUUUAAUUGCAAUUUAUUUUUUUAUGUUUGUUUAGGAAUCCUAACUUCAUUCUGAUUAAAGUCCAUACUUUGUUUAUAUGCUGUACAGUACAGUACUCCUAAAAACUUUACUUCUGACACUGUAUGAUAUAAUGUGAUGGAGGAUUAUUAAACUUAUACCUUCAUAACCUGACAGCUGAUUUAUAAGGUAAUAGUACUGCUCAUAUUAUUUAGUUGUUUCUCUGGCCCAUAAAUAUUUGUCUAAUUGCACAUUACUGCUGGUUAUUUAACUUAUUAUCCUGUUAAAUAUUUCCGGCUAAUACCAGUAUUACAUUGAUGUUCUUGCAGGUGAUCACAAACCAAAUUUCUUAUCAUUUAGAGCUUUGAUUAUGUAUUCUCUCUCUCUCUCCCUCUCUCUUUCCCAUAGUUUUUCUCUUCCUCAUCAUUUGGAUGAGGGAAGGAGUUGGUUUGUACUUUUACAGGUGUCAGGGCCUGGAGAACAGUGAUGAGACUCCCUGAAAAACAGUUAUGACAACGAUGAGGAGACUACCUGGAGAACACGAAAGCGAACCACUGAAGAACAAUGAGGAGACUAUCUGUAGAACAAAAAAGAACUCCCGAAGAAUGAGGAGACUACCUGAAGAACCCCUGAAGAACAAUGAGGAGACUACCUGGAGAUCAAGAAAGAGAACCCCUAAAGAACAAUGAGGAGACUACCUGGAGAAACAAUCUGGAGAACAAUGAGAACACCGAGAGGACACGAAAAAAUACAAAAUAAUGUCACAGCAAAAUCACAGGUUCAUAUUUAUCUAUUAUUUUGACACGUUACAGAAGCUGAGAGAUAAUUUAACUUCGAAAUAAUGGUUUAUAUAAUAUGGACUAAAAUGGGUUGAACCUAUCAUUUUGUUAUUCAUGGAGACUCGAUUUUCAUGGAAUUAUGAAAGAGAAAUGCCCGUGUGUACUGUAAGAAUUGAGGAUUUUCACAAAUAACUACAUUUUAAACAGUCUUUGAGAAAGUGACCUGAGUACCUGUGUACCAACAACCUAAAAUAAAGAAAAAGAAACGUAUCAACGUAUUUUUUAUCAGUUGGAGUGGUGUUGCAAGUUCAUUAUAGUAAAUUAAUUAUACUCAGAUUUACUGAUCUCCAUUAAGUGUACUGUGCUGGAUUUGCCUUUGUUGUUCUUUAUAAUCAAUUUCAUCAUAAUUUAAAAAAAUAUGUACUUAAUACUUUGCCACAGUACAUAACUGAACACUGGACAAUGAAGGUUGUAAAAAAAAACAGACUACCUAAACGGCAGGUAAACUCAUAUUUGUCGAAAAUAAAAAAAUUAUGUAUUUAUCACCCUGUCUCAGAAGAUUAGUAAAAUACUGUAUGACCGCUUAACCUGUGUACUACCACAAGCUUCAUAUAUUGUACAUUCUUGUUUUGCUUGUACAAUAUACGCAUGAUAUAUAAUGCGUAACAGUCAUAUAGGCCUAUAAUAAUAAGUUGACUGAUUUUUAUCCAAGGCAAUAAAGUAAACAUGACUAUUGUCUGUUAAUAGUUUAUGUAUAUAAAAUCAUCAAUAAAGCAUUGUUUAUGCAGCAUUAUCAGUUGGUGACAGUAAAUAUUUUUCCAUA